GCUCCGGUGGCCUAGUGGUUAGAGCGUCCGCCUCGAACGUGGGAGGUGGUUGGUUCGAUCCCCGGUCGAGUCA